rnacentral:rRNA from 1 species
UACGAAGGGGGCUAGCGUUGCUCGGAAUGACUGGGCGUAAAGGGCGCGUAGGCGGAUGGCACAGUCAGAUGUGAAAAUUCCCGGGCUUAACCUGGGGGCUGCAUUUGAUACGUGUUGUCUUGAGUUCGGAAGAGGGUCGUGGAAUUCCCAGUGUAGAGGUGAAAUUCGUAGAUAUUGGGAAGAACACCGGUGGCGAAGGCGGCGACCUGGUCCGACACUGACGCUGAGGCGCGACAGCGUGGGGAGCAAACAGG